UCCCUGGUAGCUCAGACGGUAAGGCAUCUGCCUGCAAUGCAGGAGACCUGGGUUCCAUCCCUUGAUCGGGAA
rnacentral:tRNA from 1 species